GAAUGCUGACAUAAGUAACGAUAAAGCGGGUGAAAAGCCCGCUCGCCGGAAGACCAAGGGUUCCUGUCCAACGUUAAUCGGGGCAGGGUGAGUCGACCCCUAAGGCGAGGCCGAAAGGCGUAGUCGAUGGGAAACGGGUUAAUAUUCCCGUACUUGGUGUUACUGCGAAGGGGGGACGGAGAAGGCUAUGUUGGCCGGGCGACGGUUGUCCCGGUUUAAGCGUGUAGGUGUGUGUUCCAGGUAAAUCCGGUUCACUUUAACACUGAGGCGUGACGACGAGGCACUACGGUGCUGAAGCAACAAAUGCCCUGCUUCCAGGAAAAGCCUCUAAGCAUCAGGUAACAUCAAAUCGUACCCCAAACCGACACAGGUGGUCAGGUAGAGAAUACCAAGGCGCUUGAGAGAACUCGGGUGAAGGAACUAGGCAAAAUGGUGCCGUAACUUCGGGAGAAGGCACGCUGACACGUAGGUGAAGUGAUUUACUCAUGGAGCUGAAGUCAGUCGAAGAUACCAGCUGGCUGCAACUGUUUAUUAAAAACACAGCACUGUGCAAACACGAAAGUGGACGUAUACGGUGUGACGCCUGCCCGGUGCCGGAAGGUUAAUUGAUGGGGUCAGCGCAAGCGAAGCUCCUGAUCGAAGCCCCGGUAAACGGCGGCCGUAACUAUAACGGUCCUAAGGUAGCGAAAUUCCUUGUCGGGUAAGUUCCGACCUGCACGAAUGGCGUAAUGAUGGCCAGGCUGUCUCCACCCGAGACUCAGUGAAAUUGAACUCGCUGUGAAGAUGCAGUGUACCCGCGGCAAGACGGAAAGACCCCGUGAACCUUUACUAUAGCUUGACACUGAACAUUGAGCCUUGAUGUGUAGGAUAGGUGGGAGGCUUUGAAGCGUGGACGCCAGUCUGCGUGGAGCCGACCUUGAAAUACCACCCUUUAAUGUUUGAUGUUCUAACGUGGACCCGUUACCCGGGUUGCGGACAGUGUCUGGUGGGUAGUUUGACUGGGGCGGUCUCCUCCUAAAGAGUAACGGAGGAGCACGAAGGUUGGCUAAUCCUGGUCGGACAUCAGGAGGUUAGUGCAAUGGCAUAAGCCAGCUUGACUGCGAGCGUGACGGCGCGAGCAGGUGCGAAAGCAGGUCAUAGUGAUCCGGUGGUUCUGAAUGGAAGGGCCAUCGCUCAACGGAUAAAAGGUACUCCGGGGAUAACAGGCUGAUACCGCCCAAGAGUUCAUAUCGACGGCGGUGUUUGGCACCUCGAUGUCGGCUCAUCACAUCCUGGGGCUGAAGUAGGUCCCAAGGGUAUGGCUGUUCGCCAUUUAAAGUGGUACGCGAGCUGGGUUUAGAACGUCGUGAGACAGUUCGGUCCCUAUCUGCCGUGGGCGCUGGAGAACUGAGGGGGGCUGCUCCUAGUACGAGAGGACCGGAGUGGACGCAUCACUGGUGUUCGGGUUGUCAUGCCAAUGGCACUGCCCGGUAGCUAAAUGCGGAAGAGAUAAGUGCUGAAAGCAUCUAAGCACGAAACUUGCCCCGA
rnacentral:rRNA from 2 species